UACAGGUUUGUCAAAUGAACUAGAAUAAAAAUUGAAAAUAAUUUUGAACUUUGAUAGUUCAAUUUAUUUAGGAGAUGGGCCCUUGUAAUAUACGUUGUCUUACCAAUACCUAGUCUUGGUUACAAGUUGUGUUUCUGUUGGGAAGAUUGGGGAAUCUGAAGUUUUUCACAUCAAUCAAACAAUUUUUAUACUUUUGAAGGGGCCACAGACAGUAGAAGAAGAAAGAGUGACUGAGCUUUCGGAAGCUGUUUAACUCUGGAACAUUCUAUUUCCUCUAGUCAUCUGGUGAAGACCCAAUUGAUGCUACAUUAUGCACCCAAAAGCUUCAGCAGAAUCGUAGAACAGACAACAGAUUCUUCUGGAAUAGGCUUUUGCACUUACCAUUGCAACACUAUGGAAUUGAUUUUUCUCACUGGCUGUUACGAGUUACAUGUGGCAGUGUUGAAAUCCGUACGUUGAAACCAGGAGUUCAAGUAGGGUCGCACAAAGUGAGAUUCUCACGCGGCCCCGAGGCCUCUUCACCAGCUCUAGAACGCCAUUUGAAGCUCAUGCAAGAGCGUUAUCAUGACACAGCUACCGUGAAUCUACUCGGUCUCUACAUGGUCGGUGCAAAAGAAGGGGAAGCUUCACUUAGUCAACCCUUCCAAGCUGACCAGAAACGCUAUUAUUAUUAAUUUUUAAAAAAAGAGUUUUAUAGGAAACUAACGGUCUAGUUUUCAUACAUAAGUGAUGUAAAUUACUUGAGCUCGACCGCACCCCUCGCAGCGGUUGAAUGGAGCAGCCUGUUGCGCCCAUUAAGGGGUCGGGAGCCGGAAAGCACGUGGAACUUGCUUUCCAUCGUCCGCGCGAAUUGUUCAAACGCCAUGACCGCAAUGCCGUUCCACGUUUGGGGGUUUUAACGGAAGAGAUUGUGUCGUGUGAACAGAUUAUGGUCUGGUGGUUUAACACCAAGGUGGCAUUACACAAUGGAAGUGCAGCUGGAUACGGUAGCGGUAUCAAAUCAAGCAACCUGGGAAGCCAAUCGCAAGCUUCUGAGCACGCUUGCUCUUCUUUAUGUGACGAAGUGGUUAUCCUUUAGCGAUUGGCUGCACUCAAUCCAGGCCUUUCUGGAGAAGAACGCGAUCUACUUCGUCAACAGUUCAGCGAAUGGCAUGUCAAAGUCAUUGACAAGGUCACGAAAAGCAAAGGGUUAACAAUCAGUGCUACUCAUGGCGCACCUCAUGUUGCUGGCGGAAAUGGUGCCGAACCGUCCACACCUCGUCGUACUAGCCAAUCAUUAAAGGCAGAAGUUGAGGUGUUUACUGGCUUCAAACCUUCAGUUGAAGCUCGUUAUCUUAACUGGGACGAUUACUCAAUUCCCGGUGUUACUUACACUCAAGGCCACCGUCUUUACCAUUGUCCUUUUACCUGCUUUCGACACACAGAGGCUCAUGGUCGCUUUCAUAUCGGCCGUCAUCACCAAUGACCUACCCGUUCACAUGCUCCAAAGACGAGCGGUAGUGCAAAGCGAUUAUGCCCAGGCUAUGGACGACAUGCGUCACGUGAGGGAAAGGAUUGGCUGAUUUCACCCUGCAUCACCUCUUGUCCGGCCGAAAAGAGUAAUAGAUCAAGCGGGCAAAUAGAAGCAGCGUUAGCAUCGAAGAUUUCUGCGAAAAUGAAGGCGAUCCAGCAGUCGAAGCGUUUGAGCCGGCAGUACCUUCAGGUCUGCGGGAUCUAACCCGCCAAGACAGUGACGAUCCGGCUCUGGGCUAUGAUACCAAUGAGCUGGAAGUUUUGGCGGUGGAUAGUUGCACUUUGACAGAUAAAGAAAAAUCAUCAUCUGAAGAUUUUGAUGCUGACUCGGACUGGUUGGGAGUUGAUGCACGUUUAAAGAAUUCACGACUUGAAGCCAGCAGUGGAGUGCUACUCCUGCCUGGAUCAGGAUUGGUGGCUGGAUCUUCACGAGAUACUGACGAUAUGGCCAGUUUGUCUGCCAGUCCUCGAGAAUCUAGAACAAUGGGCUUACCAGCAGCUCAAGGUGCCGUGCCACAAGAGCCUUGCGUUGUUACCGUUCCUAACCGGAACGGUGGAGUCUUUGGCGAGUUAAACCCACUCGAUGAUCCACUGGAGAUCCUCUUUGCAAGUGCGGAGGGACUUCACACUCAUGGGCAUAGUUCCGAAGCUUGUGAAUUGGGCAUAGAAUUGGCAACAGAACUAUUAGCAAAUACACCCGAUUUGAUGGUUGAGUUGCCUCCUGUCAUCACGCAGAAUGGCAAGAAAAUGAAGACGAAUCCUGCUUGUCAUCAAAUUAGCUUUGGCGGAAAAUUGCGACUAUUACCAUCUCGCCUUCAGGGUAGAAAUGUUUGGAUUGGAAUUGGCACGGCCACCUGCUACAACGAAACCAUUAGAAGUGAACUGGCUCACCAAGAAUCUGAGUUGGUUACACUAUUGAAACGAAUACCUUUAGGUCAUCCAUAAUUGUCGAUUGAGUGAGAAAGCUGAAGAAUUACCAGAUGGCAUAUUACGACCAUACCAUCAUAUCACGAAGCAUUGGUCACUGUGUCAGGAGCACAGCAAGUUCUUGCUGACGAGACUCUUGGACUCUUUCGCUUCGAAGCAGCCGUGUCUGCCCUAGGAUUUAAGGCAAAUGUAUCGGAGGCGGACCAUCCUCUGCUUUGUGAAGUAACGCGUCGUCAACGAGAUGAUCUCGCUGUCAUGUUACUGGUUCAUUACAAGGACGACCCAGACAAGCUAGCCAAAAGUAUGAAAAGCUACUGGAUCGUCAAGUGCAUCCGAUGAGCCUAUCCUCCCAACACGUCUUCCAAGACCCAUCGAGUUUUUUCUAUGCGUGUAGCAAAAAUUUCUAUGUCUAUGAAGGCUAUGACAUACCAGUGAUCGCUCUGUUUUAGUUCUGCACGACCGUAACAGACAGUUCGUCCUGGGUUAUGACCAUGAUCACGCUGUUUGCAUAACAGUACACGAUCUAUCUAUGCCGGCGCUCGGCUCGCUCGUUAAAGGGCAAGGUUACCACCUUGCAUUCUUAGUGAUAGUUGAUCAAGGUAUGAGGCAUCGACUCACAAUAGCGUUUUUGGACAGCUUGGAAGAGUUCACUAAGUGAAUCAUCCCCUUCUGUUCUUCCUCUUUGUUCCACGAUUCUGUUGGAGCUUAUGGAUGCAUUAUGUAGCAUCAAUUGGGUGUUACCCAGAUGACAAGAGGAAAUAGAAUGUUCCAUAGUUAAACGGCUCCAGCCGCUCAGUCACCCAUUCUUCUUCUACUGUUUGCGGCCCCUUCAGAGGGAUAAAAGUCUAUUGAUAGAUGCGAAAAACUGCAGAUACCCCAAUCUUCCCAACAGAAACACAACCUGUAGCCAAGACUAGGAAUUGCAAGCGCCAAUCUCCUAAAUAAAUUUAAGUAUCUAAGUUCAAAAUUAUUAAAAUUUUUUAUUCUAGUUCAUUUGACAAACCUGUAUUAACUACUAGUACACC